UCAUGGGUGGCAUGGACUGCUUGGUA
rnacentral:sRNA from 1 species